rnacentral:rRNA from 1 species
GCUCAGAAACUUAAAGGAAUUGACGGGGCCCGCACAAGCGGUGGAGCAUGUGGUUUAAUUCGAUGAUACGCGAGGAACCUUACCUGGGCUCAAAUGUAUGUUUGACGUAUUCUGAAAGGGAUACUUCUUCGGACAAUAUACAAGGUGCUGCAUGGUUGUCGUCAGCUCGUGCCGUGAGGUGUCGGGUUAAGUCCCAUAACGAGCGCAACCCUAUCAUUAGUUGCCAUCAGGUCAAGCUGGGGACUCUAAUGAAACUGCCUACGCAAGUAGUGAGGAAGGUGGGGAUGACGUCAAAUCAGCACGGCCCUUACGUCCAGGGCUACACACGUGCUACAAUGGCCGGUACAAAGGGCAGCUACCUGGUGACAGGAUGCUAAUCUCAAAAGCCGGUCUCAGUUCGGAUCGGAGUCUGCAACCCGACUCCGUGAUGCUGGAAUCGCUAGUAAUCGCGCAUCAGCCAUGGCGCGGUGAAUACGUUCCCGGGCCUU